rnacentral:rRNA from 1 species
UUAUUGGAGAGUUUGAUCCUGGCUCAGGACGAACGCUGGCGGCGUGCCUAAUACAUGCAAGUCGAGCGAGGGUUUUCGGACCCUAGCGGCGGACGGGUGAGUAACACGUAGGCAACCUGCCUCUCAGACCGGGAUAACAUAGGGAAA